AUCCCUUCUCGGCCAUUUGGCCAAGAUCAAGUAUAGUAUGUGUCCUUACCAGUUUAAUAUCUGGUAUGUCUUCUAUCUGAGGACAAAUUUUUUUUUUUUUUUUUUUUUUAUACUUUAAGUUCUAGGGUACAAUGUGCAGGUUUGUUACAUAUGUAUACAUGUGCCAUGCUGG
rnacentral:snRNA from 1 species